CGGCCCGCGGGCCAGGACUCACCGCACCGGGACGCCAGUCCUCCCCCGGGACGCCUGUCCCCGACCACCUGCCGGCCUCCUCCUGGUGCGCGCGGCUUCUGGUGACCGUUCUGGGCACGCGGCGCGGGACUGAUGGAGAGCCUCCCAGGGGGACCGCAGUGUCCUCGGCUCCACGUCGUCGCCUGGCUUCUGCGGACCCGAAAUUCUGCCUCCCCGGACUGUGAACCCCGCUGAGGCCGGAGCAGGGUCACUCCCGGGACACCCCUCGAAAUGGCAGGGCAUGUGCGGGGGAGGACGGGAGCCCCCCGGGGCCGAAUGAAGACCCCCAACAGCCCACCUCCCGCGGUGGGCAUUUCAAUGGUGAGGGGCAGCCCCCAGACACAGGUUUUGCGUCAAGGCUCUGAUGAUGGUGAUGGUGAUGGUGAUGGCUAAGCUCCAGCAACCCCUUCCUGGCAGCGGGCGCUCUGUUAAGUACUUCACAUGAGUUUUCUCAAUGUAUCCUCACAUCAAACCUAAGACCCUCACUAUGCUUGUCAGUGUUUCACCGAUAAAGAGACUGAUGCUUAAGUUAGAGAAGUUGCCAAAGGUGCGAUGGUGAGUAACCGCGGGCCUGAUGAUGCCAAAGACCCUCGAAGCACCACCUCCCGGCCUGCGGGUGUCCGCCAGCCACGAGUGCACCGAGUACCGGGUACCGCCGCUGGAGUGUUCUCACCCUCGGCGGGAGAUUGGCACGUCCUCCGCUCCUUUCUGAGUUCUCCUCUUUGCAGGUCCUCUUCGUACCAAGGAAAGGCGCCUCCAGGACCCCAGGCGGCGAUCAGCAGCCUGCCCGCCCCCAGCCCUAACCCUGAACUGGGAGAUGCGCAAAUGUGCUAUCGUUCAGAGUUUGCCUCUCAGACUUUGUCCUCCAGACUGAGUCUCCGGUUCUCAGAGGGCCCCCCUAGGGACACUGCUACCUGUCCUGGACUGGCCUCCAGCUGACUCCUCCCUGGAGAAUCCACUGGUCCUGUGCUGCCCCCAUCUCACCCAUCCAAGAGCCAUGAGGCCCCAGCACGGCCGAGUCUUCCUCAGCUGGUCACACAACAAGAAGUCCGAGAGCCCUCAAAGUGUGAGAAGGAUUUGACUCGAGACCAGAGGGGCCCCGUGGCAGUGAGCUGAGAGCAGCCUCUGGGGGCCGAGAGCCGUCCACACCAACUGCCAGCAAGACGGGGGGAACCUCAGUCCUACAGCCACCAGGGAGUUAGUUCUUUGGAAGCUGGGAAGCCACUCGUUCCCUCCUGAAGCCUGCAGAUGUGGAUGCAGCUGGUGAGGCCCUGGUCUCAGCCUCAGAGACCCUGGGCAGAGGGCCAGCUAAAAUGUGCUGGACUCGUGGGAACCGUGAGCCAAUGAAAGCUGCCGUGUCCUCUGUUCUGGUGAGGUCAUCUGUCGCACGGCAGUGGAAAACUGAUCUGACCCCUGGGCCCCUCCCAGGGCAGAGCUUCUCGACUCUGCUGCAGGUAGGGAGCACUAGUGGCUGGAGGCACUUUCUCCUCACAACUUAAAAAAAGAAAAGCAAUCAGGAGAAAUUUUGCCCUAUGAGGUAUUUAAAGUAUAUUUUAAAGCCAGAAGAAUCAAAAUUGCCUGGCGUUGGGCUCGGGGAUAGGGGUAGAUUAAUCCAAUCAUGCAAUACAAUGGACCCAGAACUAAAUAUGAAAUCUUUUGUUCUUGAUAAAAGAGGCAUAUCAAGAACUAAAUUAGUGAAUAAAUAAUGUUUAAUUAAUGCUGUUGGA